rnacentral:rRNA from 1 species
GUGCCAGCCGCCGCGGUAAUACGGAGGGUGCAAGCGUUAAUCGGAAUUACUGGGCGUAAAGCGCACGUAGGCUGUUGUGUAAGUCAGGGGUGAAAUCCCACGGCUCAACCCGUGGAACUGCCUUUGAUACUGCACGACUUGAAUCCGGGAGAGGGUGGCGGAAUUCCAGGUGUAGGAGUGAAAUCCGUAGAUAUCUGGAGGAACACCAGUGGCGAAGGCGGCCACCUGGACCCGGUAUUGACGCUGAGGUGCGAAAGCGU